rnacentral:misc_RNA from 1 species
AAGUCGUAACAAGGUUUCCGUAGGUGAACCUGCGGAAGGAUCAUUAAUGAAUAAUUUUGUUGGGUUGCUGCUGGCCUCUAGGGGCAUGUGCACGCCUUUCACAAACUUAUUUCAACCACCUGUGCACUUUUUGUAGACUUUGGAACACGCUAUCGAGGCAACUCGGAUCUGAGGACUGCUGUUGCGAAAGCUCAGCUUUUCCUUUAACAUUCCAAGUCUAUGUUUUUCAUAUACCCAUUACUGUAUGUCCUAGAAUGUAAUUCAUGGGCUUUCAUGCCUAUACAACCUUAUACAACUUUCAACAACGGAUCUCUUGGCUCUC